UUACCAGGCCUUGACAUGCAGAGAACUUCCAGAGAUGGAUUGGUGGCCUUCGGGAACUCUGACACAGGUGCUGCAUGGCUGUCGUCAGGCUCGUGUCGUGAGAUGUUGGGUUAAGUCCGUAACGAGCGCAACCCUUGUCCUUAGUUACCAGCACGUUAUGGUGGGCACUCUAAGGAGACUGCCGGUGACAACCGAGGAAGGUGGGGAUGACGUCAAGUCAUCAUGGCCCUUACGGCCUGGGCUACACACGUGCUACAAUGGUCGGUACAAAGGGUUGCCAAGCCGCGAGGUGGAGCUAAUCCCAUAAAACCGAUCGUAGUCCGGAUCGCAGUCUGCAACUCGACUGCGUGAAGUCGGAAUCGCUAGUAAUCGUGAAUCAGAAUGUCACGGUGAAUACGUUCCCGGGCCUU
rnacentral:rRNA from 1 species